GUGGCCGCAGAGAAGGCGAGCGCAGCUUCAUUUCUGCGCAUUUUCGGAUUCUAUUGAAGAGACCUGCGGCUGGAUUUGGAUUAUUAAUUCAGAGGAGAGUCCGGACCGAGCCGAGCCGAGCCGAGCCGAGGCGAACCGAACGGAGCCGAGCUGAGCCGCACCAGAACCAACCCGAAAAUACAGACAGAGCCAGACAGUCUGCUUCAUCUCCUCCUUCCAGAGCCGACCGGAGUCAUCCUCCCGAGGCGAUGCUGCACGUCUGACCCGGGAUCAGUGAUGCCGGCCUCCUGUGUGUCAGUGUGUGUGUGACGUCUACAGGGACUCGAACCUGCGACGUGGAGCCAACAUGGCUGCUGUGUGUGGAGCUUCAUUAACAGUGUGCCUGUGUUUCCUGCUGCUGCUGCCUGCUGUCACCGCCACGGCCACCGGUCUGCAGUCGGAGGACAGAGAGUGCAU